UUGUCUGAUACUAAAAUAGCUUUUUUUGAUAAUUUUUUUGUUGCGUUUGUUUACCUGUGAGUUUGUAAGGGUUGAAAAGAUGGAUGAAGAUGCUUCAUGAUCAUCUUCAUGAUGAUCCUGAUUGUAAAGGAGACAAUGGAGAGAUUUGUAUCGUUUGGAAAAUUCAACUUUGGAUCGAUAUUUUGUCAAUUAAAACUGUCUCACUUAGGAACGUAACCUUAACCAAGCAUCAUUUUGCGUUUCUUACUUCUCCUGGUAAUGUCAGAAUCUAUCGAGAGAUGAAUAACCAAAAGGAAUGGAGAGGAACAUCAAGUGAAAAUAAAGAGAGUGUUGCCAUGCUGUUUUAAACCCUGAACUCUCCAAGGACAAAAAGAGACACAAAUAGACUAUGGUUAUACAGAAAGAAAGACAAAAAGAAAGAGCAAAUUUAGGAGAAUGAUGGGUGAUGAUGAUGAUGAUGAUGACGAUACUGGACUAAUCGAUUGAUGUGUGAGCCAUUGACCUUGAAAUCGAUAAAAGAGGAAAAGCAAGAGAAGAGCAAGAAGAUGUUGAAGCCUGUAUCAUUAGACUUGCGCUUGGAUUUUACCUCAUUCUACUUUCAUCAUUUUUUUCACCACUGAAAGACAGAAAGAGAAAUGAUGAUGACGAAAAGUGGAGUUGAGAGAGAAGGAGAGAGAUGAAGAUAAAUGGAGAGAUGGAAAAAUAUAAGUAACAGUCUUCUCUUUUUUUGUUUCGAGGUUUCAAUCUGACCUUGAAUAUUUUUAUAGAGAAUAGUAGUUCACCUUAUUUCUGUUUCUCUUCAUCAUCCUCUUUCUCUUCUUCAGACAUCACAAAGAAGAAAAUUUUUUCAAGGCAAGUGAUGCAAAAAUAAUCACAAAAUGGCGAAAAUAGGCUAACACAUACUCAGUUAGAAUUUUAUCAUCAGAUUAAUUCUCUUUUUCUGUCUAAAUCUAAUAUCGGUUCAUUAGUUUAAUACAUUUUGGAUAAAUGUCAUAGUUUAGGUUCAUCUACCAUGACACUAACAAUAGUGUAAAGUUGAAUUAAUCAGAAAAUUUCACUCUGCUGACUGAUAUAAAAUGAAACAACUAAUACCAUAGUGAUCAAGAUUAUUAAAAUAUCACUAGGGUUUUGACAAUUUUUGAUUCCACUGAUUUGAAUUAUGUUAUAAUUGGACAAUAAAAUGGUUGAAAUGAAUGAAUAAAAGCUUUUGAACAGCUUGGAAGCUUUAAAAUUCACUAAUUGUGACUUUACAAUCAACUAAUUGAGCAAAAAGGUUGAAAUUUCUGUUUAAUGAAUGGUAGAAUCAUUGUCAGCUGUCUUUUUAUAUUAAUUUAAAGCAUUAAAGCUCAAAUUGUGUUGAAUAAACUCAAAAAAUAAAGGUAAAACAUUAAAUUCAUUGAUAAUAGUUUUGAUUAAAAACUGAAUUUUCAAAAUUUUCAUUCGUUUCCAAUAGUAACCAAACCGGUGCAAUUACUAUAAGAUCCCUUUUGUUGACAUCAAUUUUUCUGAACACUGUAGAGACAUCUAACGAUGAAAAUGUGACUCAAGGUGUAAAACUAAUUUUUGUCAUUAUUUUGAUUAAUUUAAUUUGACUAUGUUUCCAAUUAUUUAGAUCAUUUAUUUUAAGUUUCUCAUAAACAAGAUAUCAACAAGAUUUAUAAUUGUGUAAACUUUCAAUGAUUGUGCUUGAUAUCAACGAUUAAAGUGAUUUACUGUUUACUCUGUGAUUUAUAUUGGGUCUGAUUCACGAUAUUAAUAGCAAGAUGCUGCUAACUUUUAUUGAUUGAUAAAUAGUGAAGAGAAAAUCUUGCAACUUUGGUGCACCACGUAUUCAACAUUGGUUUUAUCCAAACAUCGUUCUUUGUUUACAGCUGCCAACUUGUUGGAUUUUAGAGUUUUUUCAUAAGAUAACUUCAGUUUACUAUCAAUAAGAUACUUUCCUGAUUCUCGCUAAUGAAUUUACAAUUUAAUCUUGCUAUUCCCAUUCAACUUAAUGCUGUUACACUAGACUGGUUUUUGAACACUUAAACAGAUGAUCUUGAAAGCUUAAAACCUCUGGACACUUGUUUCUAGCCUUUGGUAUUGGCAACUUAUUGAGGAUAUUGAGGACUUAUUAUCAUCAUUAUGGAAUAGGAUUAAUGCAAUCUCAGCUGUUUCAACUCAUUGUCACAUGUAAUUUUGGUAAUAAUGAAUUCUAUGGUCAAGUUUGCCUGAAAGAUCACUGGUUCGACCUACUGACAUCAAGAUGACCUUUAAAAUAAAACAAAAAACAUGGAAGAACGAAAAAAGAGCGAGUAAAAUCUUGGAAGAUUCGAAAAUGUGGAAUGAAAAUAUCAAACUAAAGAAAAUCUUUUUGUUUCCUUGUAAAGUCAAAAUGAAUGAGACGAAAGCCACUUCUGAUCAAAGUCGAGGUCAGAUAAGUUGAAUGACCGUUGGCUCGAUGCCUUAUAGCAGGUUAAAUGGGGGAUUAAAGCUGAUUCCGAGGUGUUUCUAUCUCACCAUUAACCUUUCCAAAAUACACUGAUUCCAACUAUUUGACACUUUAUGCUGGUUGAGGUCACAAACCUAGGGAUGGCUAACCUCUUUUAAACUUGGUUAUAAGUUUUACUUUUAUAUCGAUUCUUUAACCAUCAACAUCGAACUGGCUUUAAUGACCAACUGACAGAAGAGAAGCAAGAAACUCGAUUUAUUAUUUUUCCUUUUCGAUAAUGAAAGCAAACUGUCAGACCAAUUGAUUAGCUACUUUUUAAUGAAAAACAACAUUAAAAAUCUAGCCUUAGGUAUAAUGUUAAGCUGUGAACACAUUUUUAUGUGUACAAUAAUGAAGAAGUAAAAAAUGGUCUCAAAGUUCAACCGAACCUUCAUUUACCUAUUCAAUGGUAUUCAACGAUGAAUUUGAAAUGACUUGGAACGAUCGACUGAAAAAGAGUUAACAACAAAAAGCAAAUGGAAACAAAUUGAUUUUUUCGCAACUCUUCCCAAUUAGUAAACAUUUCCAACUAGAUAUCUGGCUGGGACAGCAAUCAACUAAACAAAGCAAGCUCAAGGAAUCAACUGUAAGACAAGAGUUCACCUUUAUCUCAUCGAAUCUUGAUAUUCAAAAAGAGAGGUAAAAAUGACCGAAAAAUAACCUUUAAAGUCACAAUCAAAACACAAUAAUCAGUAAAGCUGUAAUGAAUACAAUCAAUCGCUGUAAAGUCAAAUUUGAUCAAAAAAAGGUAAGUAAAUAAACUUGAAUAAGAUGAAAAAUGUGCUCAUGAUUAGUGUUAAAUCGAUAGAAUGAAAAAAAUAUAAUGGAAUACUAAUGGUACAAACGAUAAACGGGUUAAAAUGAAUCACGGCCAAGAUGUUGAGCACUUUUGCUCUCAUUAUUAUUUUGUUGGAUCAUUGAAACGUCACAUUAACAUUAAAUUCGGACUUUAACUUCCGAGUUUUUGCAUUUUCACCGUUAAUUGUUGUUAACAAUUUCAUCUUUUAACCAGUCACCCGUUGAGUGAUCCGGAUUCAAUACUGUCAGUUGAAGAUGACUUUAAUGAAUCAAUCUAAAUUAAAUUGAAGGGUUAACAUGGUAAAAAAAAGGAAAGUUUGUCCUCUAAAAUAAAGUCCCAAAAUAAAUGAGCAACAAUUGAUUGUUUACCAGGUUGUGAUUUGUGGGUGAGUUUAACAAUUUGAUUUGUUUUCUUGUUGUGCCUUCACUUUCAAUAUACUGUUGUAUCUAAUUGUGACAAUUGGUGUUGAUUGUCAUGAUGAUUCCAAAGAUGGGUGAACCUUUUUUGCUUCUUUAUGGCCUGAUUAACUAAAUAUCAGUUUAAAUCAUAAUAAUAAUAAUAGCAAUAAAUGUAAUUGUAAUAAUGUUAAUCUUAAAAUGUUGACUUGUUCCCUUUAUUCAGGUCAAAUUGUAUCAACUAUUAUUAUCAUUAUUGUACUGAUACACAAAAACAGUGAACAUCAACCAACUUGUGAAA